rnacentral:rRNA from 1 species
UACGUAGGGAGCAAGCGUUGUCCGGAAUCAUUGGGCGUAAAGCGCGCGUAGGUGGCUCUAUAAGUCCGUUGUGAAAGUCAAAGGCUCAACCUUUGAAAGCCGAUGGAUACUGUAGAGCUAGAGUCCGGAAGAGGCGAGUGGAAUUCCUGGUGUAGCGGUGGAAUGCGCAGAUAUCAGGAGGAACACCAAUAGCGAAGGCAGCUCGCUGGGACGGUACUGACACUAAGGCGCGAAAAGCGUGGGGGAGCGAACAGG